UUCCGGUUGAUCCCGCCGGACCUGACUGCUAUCGGAUUGAUACUAAGCCAUGCGAGUCUUUGCAGUAAUGCAAGGCAUACGGCUCAGUAACACGUAGUCAACUUACCCUAUGGACGAGGAUAAUCUCGGGAAACUGAGCAUAAUACUCGAUAGAUCAUAAUGCCUGGAAUGGUUUAUGGUUGAAAUGAUUCGUCGCCAUAGGAUGGGACUGCGGCCUAUCAGCUUGUUGGUGAGGUAAUGGCCCACCAAGGCGAUUACAGGUACGGGCUCUGAGAGGAGAAGCCCGGAGAUGGGUACUGAGACAAGGACCCAGGCCCUAUGGGGCGCAGCAGGCGAGAAAACUUUGCAAUGUGCGAAAGCACGACAAGGUUAAUCCGAGUGAUUUCUGCUAAAGGAAUCUUUUGCAAGUCAUAAAACCACUAGUGAAUAAGGGGUGGGCAAGUUCUGGUGUCAGCCGCCGCGGUAAAACCAGCACCUCAAGUGGUCAGGAGGAUUAUUGGGCCUAAAGCAUCCGUAGCCGGCUCUGUAAGUUUUCGGUUAAAUCCAUGUGCUCAACGCAUGGGCUGCCGAAAAUACUGCAUAGCUAGGGAGUGGGAGAGGUAGACGGUACUCAGUAGGAAGGGGUAAAAUCCUUUGAUCUAUUGAUGACCACCUGUGGCGAAGGCGGUCUACCAGAACACGUUCGACGGUGAGGGAUGAAAGCUGGGGGAGCAAACCGGAUUAGAUACCCGGGUAGUCCCAGCUGUAAACGAUGCAGACUCGAUGAUGCAUUGGCAUAUAGCCAGUGCAGUGUCGCAGGGAAGCCGUUAAGUCUGCCGCCUGGGAAGUACGUACGCAAGUAUGAAACUUAAAGGAAUUGGCGGGGGAGCACCACAAGGGGUGAAGCCUGCGGUUCAAUUGGAAUCAACGCCGGG
rnacentral:rRNA from 1 species